rnacentral:rRNA from 1 species
GACGAACCGUGCGAACGCUGUUCGGAAUCACUGGGCUUAAAGGGUGCGUAGGCGGGUUGUCCAGUCUGGGGUGAAAUCCCGCGGCUCAACCGUGGAAUUGCCUCAGAUACUGACGACCUCGAGGGAGGCAGGGGCGGGCGGAACUGCGGGUGGAGCGGUGAAAUGCGUUGAUAUCCACAGGAACUCCGGUGGCGAAGGCGGCUCGCUGGACCUCUUCUGACGAUGAGGCACGAAAGCUAGGGGAGCAAAUGGG